UGCUAUACAUGCAGUCGAGCGGACAGAUGGGAGCUUGCUCCCUGAUGUUAGCGGCGGACGGGUGAGUAACACGUGGGUAACCUGCCUGUAAGACUGGGAUAACUCCGGGAAACCGGGGCUAAUACCGGAUGCUUGAUUGAACCGCAUGGUUCAAUUAUAAAAGGUGGCUUUUAGCUACCACUUACAGAUGGACCCGCGGCGCAUUAGCUAGUUGGUGAGGUAACGGCUCACCAAGGCGACGAUGCGUAGCCGACCUGAGAGGGUGAUCGGCCACACUGGGACUGAGACACGGCCCAGACUCCUACGGGAGGCAGCAGUAGGGAAUCUUCCGCAAUGGACGAAAGUCUGACGGAGCAACGCCGCGUGAGUGAUGAAGGUUUUCGGAUCGUAAAACUCUGUUGUUAGGGAAGAACAAGUACCGUUCGAAUAGGGCGGUACCUUGACGGUACCUAACCAGAAAGCCACGGCUAACUACGUGCCAGCAGCCGCGGUAAUACGUAGGUGGCAAGCGUUGUCCGGAAUUAUUGGGCGUAAAGCGCGCGCAGGCGGUUUCUUAAGUCUGAUGUGAAAGCCCCCGGCUCAACCGGGGAGGGUCAUUGGAAACUGGGGAACUUGAGUGCAGAAGAGGAGAGUGGAAUUCCACGUGUAGCGGUGAAAUGCGUAGAGAUGUGGAGGAACACCAGUGGCGAAGGCGACUCUCUGGUCUGUAACUGACGCUGAGGCGCGAAAGCGUGGGGAGCGAACAGGAUUAGAUACCCUGGUAGUCCACGCCGUAAACGAUGAGUGCUAAGUGUUAGAGGGUUUCCGCCCUUUAGUGCUGCAGCAAACGCAUUAAGCACUCCGCCUGGGGAGUACGGUCGCAAGACUGAAACUCAAAGGAAUUGACGGGGGCCCGCACAAGCGGUGGAGCAUGUGGUUUAAUUCGAAGCAACGCGAAGAACCUUACCAGGGUCUUGACAUCCUCUGACAACCCUAGAGAUAGGGCUUCUCCUUCGGGGGCAGAGUGACAGGUGGUGCAUGGUUGUCGUCAGCUCGUGUCGUGAGAUUGUGGGGUUAAGUCCCGCAACGAGCGCAACCCUUGAUCUUAGUGCCAGCAUCAGUUGGGCACUCUAAGGUGACUGCCGGUGAAAAA
rnacentral:rRNA from 1 species